GCUAUUCCAAUUGACGCCAUUUUGAUUUUAAAAUAGUAACAACCGGAAGCACUAGGUAGCCAUUACUGCAUGCGAUUUGUGGAAGGAUAUUGGAUCUUAUAGUUAAAUCGUGGAGUUUAGAAAUUACAGUGACACAUUGUGAAAUUACAGAGUGACUGAAAUUUCCAUAGAAGGUUGUGUACUGGGAUUAUAAAGACUGGAUGAAUGACUGUGAGUUUCAGUUAAGAGAGAGAGAUCAGAGCUGAAGAUUAUUUACUACAUUUUGAGAAAUAGACUAUAGAAGGUAUGAAGUAAGAGUUAUCUUUCAUUAUAAGAAUUACUCCUUCAAUAAUGAGAUUGAGUUACUGC